rnacentral:rRNA from 1 species
UACGGAAGGCAGCAGUGGGGAAUAUUGCACAAUGGGCGAAAGCCUGAUGCAGCUAUGCCGCGUGUAUGAAGAAGGCCUUAGGGUUGUAAAGUACUUUCAUCGGGGAGGAAAAACAAAACUAAUAAUUUUAUUUCUUGACGUUACCCGAAAAAGAAGCACCGGCUAACUCCGUGCCAGCAGCCGCGGUAAUACGGAGGGUGCUAGCGUUAAUCAGAAUUACUGGGCGUAAAGAGCACGUAGGUGGUUUUUUUAAAGUCAGAUGUGAAAUCCCUGGGCUUAACCUAGGAACUGCAUUUUGAAACUGAAAUACUAGAGUAUCGUAGAGGGAGGUAGAAUUCUAGGUGUAGCGGUGAAAUGCGUAGAUAUCUGGAGGAAUACCUGUGGCGAAAGCGGCCUCCUAAACGAAUACUGACACUGAGGUGCGAAAGCGUGGGGAGCGAAACAGGGAUUAGAUACC